rnacentral:misc_RNA from 1 species
UGGCGGAGUAGAGUGGGAUUUUAAGUAUUCUGUUGUUCGUAGUUUCGGGUUAUUCUGGGAUUAAAUAUUAUGACUGAUUUAAACAAUCAAGAUAUUACUGAAACAGAGACGGAAUCAACAACAACAUGGAUUUUGCUGCAGAUAGCUGAUUCAGCCUUCCCUACUGGAGGAUUCUCACACAGUUUUGGUUUUGAAUCUGCAACAAAACAUGGCUUUGUAACAGAGUAUAAUGGUUUCAAAGGAUUUUUGCUCUCUUGUCUUCAAAAUGCAGCAUCAUUUAGUCUUCCUUUUGUCAAUGAAUCACACAAGAAUUACCAAACUGUUGACCGGAUCAAAGAGCUGGAUGGAAUGGUUCAAGCAUAUCUCAGUAAUCAUGUAGCAAACAGAGCAAGCAUUAGACAGGGGAACUCCUUACUGGACACGGCUUGCAAAACAUUUGGCUAUCAAGAAUUAAAAAACUUACAGGUCCAACUCGAGAACAAAGGCAUUUUUGGUCACUUUGCUGUUAUGUUUGGCUUCAUGUGUGGCUUGUUAAACCUCUCUGUGAUCCAAACUCAACAACUUUUCCUUUUCUCGACUCUCCGAACGGUAAUCGCUAGUGCUGUGAGACUUGGUAAUAUUGGACCGUUACAGGUACAAGUAGAACGUCAGUUUUUGUGAAGCCACGAAGAACAAUGCAAGAUCAAUGUAUAACAAUAAGUGAUUACCACAUGUGUGGCCUUAUCUCCUUUUAUCCCACUUUCAUCUGAAUUCAGGCACUGGCACAGAAUGCCUGUGCAAGAAGAAGACAUAAACAGCUCAAGGUCUCGUGUGUGCGGUCAUUGGCGCGGUUGGCACUCCACUAAUGUACCAUCUUAUGAUUCAUGAAAUUUAGGCUCAAUCCAUCCAAUUUGAAAUGCAGAAGACAGCAGAAGAAAUUAGGAAAAAGUUUGAAAUAUCCACCGUGGAGGAAGCAACAACAACAGCCCCCGUU